UGAGCACUAUCCCAAAUCAGAGAUACCUUCACUUCUUCUUCUUCUUCCAAAAAAAAUAAUAAUAAUAAUAAAAAAAUAAAAAAAUAAAAAUAAAAAUGGGUUUAUAAGGAGGCCCUUGUAAAAUUAAUAUCCAUCUUCAUCAUCCUGAUCUUGCAUCCCUUGUGGCUUCUUCCCAUGAAUCCCAUCUCUGAUCUCCAAGUGCUCAAUUAAAACUCUGGAUUGUCUCUUGAAUCUUGCAGCUGGUCAUUAAGCAACAGGAUAAUGGACUGAAGCUGCCAUCGACCACGACCAAAUAACAUGAAGAACAAGUUCUUAAGUGGGAAAACAACAUAAUAUAGAACAAAAUAACCAUAGAAAGUGCCAAAGAGAGAAAGAAACAACUAGUAGUAAUCUGAUCUUAGAGUUGAGAAGAAUUGUGGACAUAGAGAUGAAUGCCAAAGUAGCUGAUAAGUAUGUGAAAGCUUGAGCUUAACCUCUGGAACUUCAAAGGGAGAACCAUGACAUUAGAUAUUAAUGAAGAACAGAAAAGAAAUAGUGUAGACGGUGAAGACCUUUCUUGAAUAUUGAAUAAAAAGAUGAUGAUGAUGGUGGUGGUGAUGAAGAAGUUAAACAUAGUGCUAAGUGGGCAGCAAUGGACUGAACUGCAAAGGCAAAGAGGCUCUUAUUCAAAGCUCGGAGUGAUGCUUUUUGGCAGGGUUUGGUUUCAGGACGACAUUCUGUUCGAGGGAGUUAUCCUUGCAUCUGGGAUGGCUCCAUCUUUUUGCCUUUGCUUACAGCCAGCUUUGAUUAAAAACCAGCCAUGCCCGACGGAAGGAAGACUCCCUCGAACAGAACACCGUACGCACACCAGGAGCGAUAAAUAACAGAAGCACCCAAUUCUCAGUUUAUCCUUAGUUUCUAAUCAGCAAUUCUAAUCAAAUACUAAUGAGCAAUCCCAUUAUUCCGAUGAGGCAACCACCCCCAUUUCAGCCCACCCUUUCAUCAUAAACAUCAGCUGUCCUGAAGCCAAACCCUCCCAAAAGUCAUCACUCCAAGCUUUGAAUAAGAGCCCCUUGCCUUUGCAGUUCAGUCCAUUGCUGCCCUCGUAGCUCUAUGCGUCAAUUCUUCAUCAUCAUCGUCAUCUUUUUAUUCAAGAAAGGUCUUCACCAUGUCUACACUUGUUCUUUUCUGUUCUUCAUUAAUAUCUACUGCCAUGGUUCUCCCUUCGAAGUUCGAAGUUCCAGGGGUUAGCUCAUGCUUUCCCAUACUCAUCAGCUACUUUGGCAUUCAUCUCUAUGUCCACAAUUCUUCUCAACUCUAAGAUCAGAUUACUACUUGUUGUUUCUCUCUCUUUGGCACUUUUCUACUUUUGUUUUUUUUUUUGUCUAUAUUCUGUCCGAAAAGUUACUAUUAGUUUUUUCACUUAUGAACUUGUUCUUCAUGCUAUUCGGUCUUCGUCAACGACAGCUACAAAGUAAUCAUAUAUUGAGGAUCACAGAAGAAUGAUAUAAUGAUGCUGAUGCAGUAAUUUAAUGUCAUGUGUGUAAUGCAUUGUGUCUCUAUUUUUCCAUUAAUAAAGUUGUUGGUAUAGCCCAAAUGGUAUUAGUUUCUUAUGUUAAUAAAUUCAUAUAAGGUUGUGUUUGAUUGUAUGUGUUGGAAUUCUCAUCAUAAAUGGAAUUACUUUUGCUUUUAA